AGCGCGCCCCGACUUGAGUGGAGCUCUUUUUCUUUUUUAAAAGAAAAAAGCGGGAAUGGAAGGCGGAUAAAGGC
rnacentral:sRNA from 1 species